GGGAUUUUAGUAUAAUAGUGAAUAUAUAUGACUUUUAAUUAUUAAGAUAUUAGUUUGAAUCUAGUAGAUUUUA
rnacentral:tRNA from 1 species